UACGUAGGGUGCAAGCGUUGUCCGGAAUUAUUGGGCGUAAAGAGCUCGUAGGCGGUCUGUCGCGUCGAAUGUGAAAACCCGAGGCUCAACUCCGGGCUUGCAUUCGAUACGGGCAGGCUAGAGUUCGGUAGGGGAGUCUGGAAUUCCUGGUGUAGCGGUGAAAUGCGCAGAUAUCAGGAGGAACACCGGUGGCGAAGGCGGGACUCUGGGCCGAUACUGACGCUGAGGAGCGAAAGCGUGGGGAGCGAACAGG
rnacentral:rRNA from 1 species